rnacentral:rRNA from 1 species
UGGGGAAUCUUGCACAAUGGGGGCAACCCUGAUGCAGCGACGCCGCGUGAGCGAUGAAGGUUUUCGAAUCGUAAAGCUCUGUCCUAUGGGAAGAUAAUGACGGUACCAUAGGAGGAAGCCCCGGCUAACUACGUGCCAGCAGCCGCGGUAAUACGUAGGGGGCGAGCGUUGUCCGGAAUUACUGGGCGUAAAGGGUUCGCAGGCGGCAUGGCAAGUCCGAUGUAAAAGGCGAAGGCUCAACCGUCGUAAGCAUCGGAAACUGUCAAGCUUGAGUGAAGGAGAGGCAAGUGGAAUUCCUAGUGUAGCGGUGGAAUGCGUAGAGAUUAGGAGGAAUACCGGUGGCGAAGGCGACUUGCUGGACUUCAACUGACGCUGAGGAACGAAAGCGUGGGGAGCAAACAGG